rnacentral:lncRNA from 1 species
UUCAACUGUAGUAGAACUAAAAGGAGGUACAUGAUCAUUUGCAGGAUGAUCUGUCUCUGAUUGUUGCUCCAUGUCAGAAUUGUUUACAUGUGGAUAAUUGUUUUUCAUAGCAGAUUCUCUGUGCCUUCCAAGCUUUGGAGAUCUUGGGCGGGUUGUUGGUAUCUAAUUGAUAGGUGAAAUGCAUUACCAUAUAUAUGUAAGGAAGAAAAAUAUUAUUACAUUGAAAUUAUAAACAUUCCUAGUGUGUUUUCUGUUUGUAAUUUAUGAACCAAAUUGAAUAAUAAUAGAUACAUUCAAAGACCAAACUAACGAAAGACACCUGCGAUAACUAAAAUGACAAUUUAUGAACCAAAUUGAAUAAGACAUAGUGGCUCACAUUUGAUAACUAAAAUGACAAUUUACUCCAAUAGUUAUGUUGACAUAAAGAUG